rnacentral:sRNA from 1 species
UUAUUAAUUAUUAUAAUUCACUUCUCAUCUUUAUAUGAUUCUAUUUUUGCAAAAAAAUAAUAUCAUCAUUAUAAAAAAAUAAUUAGAGUUUUUUCGCAUAUGCAAUAAUUAGAAUUUUUAAAAACGAAUAUAAACUGUUAAAUACAUGAAAAAAUAUUAUACCGGGUGAAAAAUAGAUUUAAGAAAACUUUCUACUGAGUAACGGGUCAUAAUUUGAAAUAUUUAUAUUUAAUUUCAUACAUAUUAUAUUGAAAAUUUAUAAUCUUAUAUACUAUAAUAAUUUUUAUGUGUAUGAUGUGAUUCAAUUUUUAAUACAAGCUAGAAAAUCCUAGAAUUGACGGGUUUAGAUCGAUAUUAAUAUAAGAUGGUAUACUACAGGUGAAACUCUUAAAUUAACAAUCAAACUACAAGUGUAUAAUCUUAAACACUAAACAAUAUAGAUAAUAUCAACAAAACAUAUACAACUCACAGUUUACUAUACAUUUAAAAUUAAAUAAAAUAAUAUCAUAUAUUUUUAAAUCAUCUUUACAAUAAAAGUUUUUAGUUUAACUAAAAUAUAAGCCUACCUGCGGUAUACUACAGGUUAAUAUCUAGAUUAUAGGGCUUAUUGGAUCUAAAGACGGGUCAUCAAAGAUUUCCUAAACUGAAGCAAAAUAUACUGAAUACUCAAAUAUCUAUCUGUUACCAAAUUAUAAACAAAUAAGUUCGUAAAACAAUUUAAUAUUUUAUAUACAAAAUCAAUUAAAUCUUAAUCACAUAAAAAUUAGCACAAAAAAAAGUAUUCAACAAUUAAAAAAUUAUCAAAUCUCUGUGUUAUAUAAGUUUUGAUACUAUAUUCGAAUAAAGUGUAAUAUUCCUUUUCGAUUUGUAUUCUUUAACUAAUUUAAGCUGACUAAUAUAUUUGUUAAUCUUAUACCUAUCAAAACCGACUAUCGUUUUUUAUCUCUAUAGUAUUUUUGCAACAUUUGUUUGGUGGAUUUGGGUAAAAGUGCAUUCGGGUCAUAUGGUACAUUCCCCUAUUAAAUAAAUAUGGUGUACUCCUAUGUUAUCAGCUAAAAUAUUUAAAUUAUAAUUCAGAGUCAUAUCAUUAGUAAAAUUAAUAUUAAUAAAAUAAAUGGCUUUUUGGCAAGACGGAUUUGGAGUGACGGGUUUUUGAAUCAACAUUAAUAAAAAAGUAAAAUAUAAUUAAUCCACUGUUUCAAUACGGGUUAAAUCUUUAAUUUAUUAUUUUUUAAGAUCACUAAUAUUAAACAUAUCAAAUCAUCCUAAUUUAGAAAAGAUUAUAUAAAACCAAAAAUGUUAUGUGGUAUGUAUAAUAUU